AGUGAACGCUGGCGGUAGGCCUAACACAUGCAAGUCGAACGGCAGCACAGUAAGAGCUUGCUCUUACGGGUGGCGAGUGGCGGACGGGUGAGGAAUACAUCGCAAUCUACUUUUUCGUGGGGGAUUACGUAGGGAAACUUACGCUAAUACCGCAUACGACCUACGGUUGAAAGCAGGGGAUCUUCGGACCUUGCGCGAUUGAAUGAGCAGAUGCCGGAUUAGCUAGUUGGCGGGGUAAAGGCCCACCAAGGCGACGAUCCGGAGCUGGCCUGAGAGGAUGAUCAGCCACACUGGAACUGAGACAAGGUCCAGACUCCUACGGGAGGCAGCAGUGGGGAAUAUUGGACAAUGGGCGCAAGCCUGAUCCAGCCAUACCGCGUGGGUGAAGAAAGCCUUCGGGUUGUAAAGCCCUUUUGUUGGGAAAGAAAAGCAGCAGGUUAAUACCCCGCUGUUCUGACGGUACCCAAGAAAUAAGCACCGGCUAACUACGUG
rnacentral:rRNA from 1 species